UACGGAGGGGACUAGCGUUGUUCGGAAUUACUGGGCGUAAAGCGCACGUAGGCGGAUUUGUAAGUCAGGGGUGAAAUCCCGUGGCUCAACCACAGAAUUGCCUUCGAUACUGUAGAGCUUGAGACCGGAAGAGGUAAGUGGAACUGCGAGUGUAGAGGUGAAAUUCGUAGAUAUUCGCAAGAACACCAGUGGCGAAGGCGGCUUACUGGUCCGGUUCUGACGCUGAGGCGCGAAAGCGUGGGGAGCAAACAGG
rnacentral:rRNA from 1 species